rnacentral:tRNA from 1 species
CAGCCUUUGGCUGGGGUUAGAGCGCUUCCAUGGCAUGGAAGAGGUCGCUGGUUCGAAUCCAGUACGGUCCACAA